GAGUUUGAACCUGGCUCAGGAUGAACGCUGGCGGCGUGCCUAACACAUGCAAGUCGAACGAAGCAUGCCGGAGGAAGUUUUCGGAUGGAAUCCGGGAUGACUGAGUGGCGGACGGGUGAGUAACGCGUGGGUAACCUGCCCUGUACAGGGGGACAACAGUUAGAAAUGACUGCUAAUACCGCAUAAGCGCACAGGACCGCAUGGUCCGGUGUGAAAAACUCCGGUGGUACAGGAUGGACCCGCGUCUGAUUAGGUAGUUGGCGGGGUAACGGCCCACCAAGCCGACGAUCAGUAGCCGACCUGAGAGGGUGACCGGCCACAUUGGGACUGAGACACGGCCCAAACUCCUACGGGAGGCAGCAGUGGGGAAUAUUGCACAAUGGGGGAAACCCUGAUGCAGCGACGCCGCGUGAGUGAAGAAGUAUUUCGGUAUGUAAAGCUCUAUCAGCAGGGAAGAAAAUGACGGUACCUGACUAAGAAGCCCCGGCUAACUACGUGCCAGCAGCCGCGGUAAUACGUAGGGGGCAAGCGUUAUCCGGAUUUACUGGGUGUAUAGGGAGCGUAGACGGCAGAGCAAGUCUGAAGUGAAAGCCCGCGGCCCAACUGCGGGACUGCUUUGGAAACUGCCCGGCUAGAGUGCUGGAGAGGUAAGCGGAAUUCCUAGUGUAGCGGUGAAAUGCGUAGAUAUUAGGAGGAACACCAGUGGCGAAGGCGGCUUACUGGACAGUAACUGACGUUGAGGC
rnacentral:rRNA from 1 species